GUUAGUGGUAGACAUGUCUGUAUGUAGUGUUAUGAUAUGAGGGUAGGUUAGUGGUAGACAUGUCUGUAUGUAGUGUUAUGAUAUGAGGGUAGGUUAGUGGUAGACAUGUCUGUAUGUAGUGUUAUGAUAUGAGGGUAGGUUAGUGGUAGACAUGUCUGUAUGUAGUGUUAUGAUAGGGAGGGUAGGUUAGUGGUAGGCAUGUCUGUAUGUAGUGUUAUGAUAUGAGGGUAGGUUAGUGGUAGACAUGUCUGUAUGUAGUGUUAUGAUAUGAGGGUAGGUUAGUGUUAGAAUACGUCUGUAUGUAGUGUUAUGAUAUGAGGGUAGGUUAGUGUUAUGAUAUGAGGGUAGGUUAGUGGUAGACAUGACUGUAUGUAGUGUUAUGAUAUGAGGGUAGGUUAGUGUUAUGAUAUGAGGGUAGGUUAGUGUUAUGAUAUGAGGGUAGGUUAGUGGUAGACAUGUCUGUAUGUAGUGUUAUGAUAUGAGGGUAGGUUAGUGUUAGAAUACGUCUGUAUGUAGUGUUAUGAUAUGAGGGUAGGUUAGUGGUAGACAUGUCUGUAUGUAGUGUUAUGAUAUGAGGGUAGGUUAGUGGUAGACAUGUCUGUAUGUAGUGUUAUGAUAUGAGGGUAGGUUAGUGGUAGACAUGUCUGUAUGUAGUGUUAUGAUAUGAGGGUAGGAUAGUGGUAGGCAUGUCUCUAUGUAGUGUUAUGAUAUGAGGGUAGGUUAGUGGUAGACAUGUCUGUAUGUAGUGUUAUGAUAUGAGGGUAGGUUAGUGGUAGACAUUUCUGUAUGUAGUGUUAUGAUAUGAGGGUAGGUUAGUUUUAUGAUAUGAGGGUAGGUUAGUGUUAGACAUGUCUGUAUGUAGUGUUAUGAUAUGAGGGUAGGUUAGUGGUAGACAUGUAUGUAUGUUGUGUUAUGAUAUGAGGGUAGGUUAGUGUUAUGAUAUGAGGGUAGGUUAGUGGUAGACAUGACUGUAUGUAGUGUUAUGAUAUGAAGGUAGGUUAGUGGUAGACAUGUCUGUAUGUAGUGUUAUGAUAUGAGGGUAGGUUAGUGUUAUGAUAUGACGGUAGGUUAGUGUUAUGAUAUGAGGGUAGGUUAGUGUUAGACAUGUCUGUAUGUAGUGUUAUGAUAUGUGGGUAGGUUGGUGGUAGACAUGUAUGUAUGUAGUGUUAUGAUAUGAGGGUAGGUUAGUGGUUACUUUAUCCUAUCCCAGGUAUUCCUUAAAGAGGUGGGGUUUCAGGUGUCUCCGGAAGGUGGUGAUUGACUCCGCUGUCCAGGCGUCGUGAGGGAGCUUGUUCCACCAUUGGGGUGCCAGAGCAGCGAACAGUUUUGACUGGGCUGAGCGGUAACUGUGCUUCCUCAGAGGUAGGGAGGCGAGCAGGCCAGAGGUGGAUGAACGCAGUGCCCUUGUUUGGGUGUAGGGACUGAUCAGAGCCUGAAGGUACGGAGGUGCCGUUCCCCUCACAGCUCCGUAGGCAAGCACCAUGGUCUUGUAGCAGAUGCGAGCUUCAACUGGAAGCCAGUGGAGUGUGCGGAGGAGCGGGGUGACGUGAGAGAACUUGGGAAGGUUGAACACCAGACGG
rnacentral:lncRNA from 1 species